rnacentral:lncRNA from 1 species
GAAGACAACUCAGACAUCGCAAGUGCAAGUGAACGUGGCAGAGGAAAAAGGAAAAAGAAAAGAAGGCUCUACAGUGACGAAGACGAGAUUCCACUCCCGCAGCCACCACAGUCUAUGCAGAAACGAGCAACACAUGGUAUUACAGAAAGAUCUGCAGCGAUGGAACCGUCAAGUAUUUUGACUGUUUCACAGCACUCGGCAUAUAAUGAAAGAACGCAUGGUACUGCAAAGCGGUCUGCAAAGGAGCCACUGCACUCGUGGAAC